rnacentral:lncRNA from 1 species
UGCGGCCGCCGUCGUCGGGCGAGGAGGCGGGCGCCUGGCCGGGGCCCAAGCCAAGACCCAGAUCCAGGAUGGGAUCUCCUGCUCCUGGUCCUCCCGCUCCUGCCCCCGGCGGGCUGCGCGGGACGUAGCGCGCUGGGUGGUCGCAGAAAGAAGCCCAGCCGUCGUGUGAGGCCCGCACGUGCACCGCCUUCUCAAAGGAGCGGUUCAGCACGCGGACCAACCCGCGCAGCACCGGCGGGCGCCCCCCAGGCACCCACACCCCGGCACCCCCGGGGACCGCUCCGGGAGGCGGCAGCAGUGCCUCCAGCUCCACCAUGACGCGCCCCAAGCGCUCCAGACGGCCCGGCGCGGGCGGCAGCGAAAAUGUGGGCACCAGGUAAAACCCCCCGCCAGCGGGAACGGGGCACAGCGGCGAGGGCUCGGGGCAAGCCUCCUCUUCCUCCUCCCCUUCAUCCCCAUCCUCGCCAUCGUCGUCCUCGUCAGCCCCGCCGCCGACGCCAUCUUGCCCGGCCGCCACCGCCAUCUUGCCCGCCCCGGGCCCGCCCCACGGCCGGUAGCGGCGCAGCUGCGCCAGCGGCAGCCCCAGGGCCUCGUCGGCGAACAGCACCCUCCGCGGGGCCACCGCUGCCUCGACUGAGGCCUGAAGCCAGUCUUGCAGACGGGUUGGAGUGGACAUUGGAUGACAGAACUCUGGGUUAUGCAGGGCACUGGAGAGCCAAGGGCAGGGAGUCUCAGCCACGGCCUGUCAGGAGAAGCCCCUGGGGGCUGGUCUCCCCUGUUGACCAUUGGUUGGAGGGGGUGCCUGUGGAGGUGAGGAAAUGCAGCGGCCAAGUCUUGGACAACCUGAAACCUUCAAGCCCCCAGAAGAAUCUCCAAAUCUCAGAACCUCCCUAUCAUUGCAGCCUAGAAUUUAAAACCUGAGACCGUUGUGCUCAAGGAAACCUGGCGGUUUCAAAGGCCAGCACCAAUGGAACGCAGGGCCCCUAUCCUCCGGCUCUGUGAUAUCGGGCAAGUUGCCCGACUACUUCGUGCCUCCGUUUUCCCCAUCUGUAUAACGGCCAUGAUGACAAGAUGGAAAUCCAAGGGCUGUGGUGAGGAUUGAACACGAUAAUUGUGAAAAGUGUUCGGCGCUGCGUCUGGCACAUGGAAAAUCUGAGAUAAUUGUCGGCUACGGGGAUGAUGGUGGAUAUUUAGAAUCCUAAAUCCUUGGAAACUGGGACUUUUCGAAGUAGAAAACCGCAAAGGCUGAGGGCCUCAGAAGCAUCAGGCCAUGGUGUCCCUGACCAUGAGAAGGCUGGGGUCCCAACGAGCCUCUCUAGGCUUUGUGAGGAUGGAUUCAUUAAUACUGGGGCCUGGUUGGGACCUUCCCCUCUGGGUCAGAGCUCUCAGGCCCUAAGAUGUAAUGAGGCAAGACUUUUCUCCCUUUCCUCACUCAGUGAUGUUCAGUGGAUUCUGGGAGCCAAUGAUUCUCAGACUCUUGGAUUCUGUGAAUUGUCGGGGGUAGGGAGGGACUCCCUGCUUUUUUCUCCAUGAAGUAACUUCCAUGCCUCUUACCCUCUGUGAGAAGAUGGGUUGCAAGAGUAUCCGGAGCUCCCCACCCCUGGGCAGUAAGACUGUGAUGACCGUAUCAAUUCCACUUAAGGGGAAACUGAGGCCUGGACCAGAGCAAGGCCUCUGGAAACGCAGCCCUAUUCCAUUUCUUUCCCUGGUGUUUCCCGUCCACAUGUAGCAUCUCAGUUCCUUUCUUCCUUUCCCCAGAGACCCUCAAAUAUCCCCUCACUCACAGAGUGGCAUCUCUCCCUGCCUGGGAUGUCCCUGUGAUUUGAGUUCUUUUCCCUUUUUUCUAACUCUACACACUUUUGUUUUAAAAACUGUAGUUUCUCAUGAGCCCUGUUAUCUCAUUGAUACCUCUCACCUCUGUAGUGAGGGGAAGAAAUCAUAUUUUCAGAUGACUCGUAAAGGGCAAAGAAAAAACCCAAAAUUUCAAAAUUUCCGUUUAAGUCUCAUAAUCAAGAAGAGGAGAAACAGAGCGAGCGAGUGAGAGAGAGAGCGAGAGAGAAAAAACUAUGAGAACCCCCCCCACCCCGUGAUUAUCAGCGUACACACUCAUCGAAAAAAAAAAUUGGAUUAUUAGAAGAGAGAGGUCUGUGGCUUCCACACCGUGGUUUUUCUUCUCGGUAUAAAAGCAAAGUUGUUUUUGAUAUGUGACAGUUUCCCACAAGCCAGGCUGAUCCUUUUCUGUCAGUCCACUUCACCAAGGUGAGUGUCCCCGCUCUCCCCCACCAGAUGCGGGUCCAGCGGAAGAGACGACAGUGAGGUAGGCACUGGGUUGGAGGGUAGUCAGGGGCCCUCGGGGACCAGCAAGACACACGCAGCAGCUCCUGUGGUCCUGGUCAGGUAAGGUAUUUUUUACAGUAAUAAUACUAAUAACAAACGCCAGAAGACUGAUAGAUCAAGUACUUAAUCAGUGCUGAGGCAGAGGCAAAGAUAAAUAAAUGGAUCGAUGUGUGGACGGGUAGGAUUUUUUAAAUAUAUCAGCUGCCAGUCUUUAUGAAUCUCAGAGCUUUGAACAACUUGAAACACUGUCCAGGUGUAACUGGAAAUUUCAGCGACGUCUCUGACAUACCUUUGGCUCUUCUCUCUCGAUAUCUCCCGUCCCUCUCUGUCUCACUCUUUUCGUGAUUCUCUGCCCCUCUCUUUCUGUUUCCCUGGCAUGCAGACUCUCCACCCCUCUGUCUUUCUCUGGCUCUGACCAUCUCCCCUGUCGCUGUCUCCUCCAACUUGACCACACUCCAUUUAUCUCCUUUCCUCCGUCUCUCCCACCACCUUUCCUGCUCAUUCGUCUUCCCUUCCCCCUGCCUGCCUCUCCCCCUCUACCCCCAGCCUCCAGCACAGAGCUUUGUACAGUUGGCGCUUAAUAACAGUGUGUUGAGUAAUGUCGAGGAGGACAUUUACAUUUUACAAGAAUGAGCAUCAAUUCUGUUUGCCCCGAUCGAAAGAGGAUUGUGGGCUGUCGGGUUGGGCUGAGCACUUAACUUGAACUUGCGCUUGCACCGCAUGAGGAGACCCUCCAGGGGGGCACUUCACGCAAUUGUCAACCAUGGUUUAGCUGUGGGGUUCUACCCUCAGGACCUGGUGUUGUGGGGGGAGGGCCAGGAUCCAUGUCCAGGAACAGAGCAGGCCAUUCAGGUCUGGGGUGACCUCGUCUCUGCAGGCUUAGCAAGUGCUCACUGCGUGUUAACUGUUAGUAUUUUUUAACCAAAUUAGAAUCAUGCUAUCUAGCUAUCUAUUGCUUUUGUUUCUGCUUUAUUCAAUGAAUAGGAGCAUUUUUGUAGGUCACUGAAAAAUGUUUCAACGUAUGAUCUUUCAUAACUGUUCAGACUGUCCUCACACUGGUAUGAACCACGACUGUUCGACCAAGUGCUGAUUUUUGGACAUUCGGGUUGUUUCUAGUUUUUUCGCAUAAUCAUCCCGGAUUAGUUCCUCGGAUUCCUACAAAUCGAGUGGCUAGGGCAAAGCGUUUGUGCAUUUUUAAGGUUUCUGACCCUCUCUGCAAAUUGUUCUUCCAAAAGGUUGUCCUGUUUUAUGUUCCCUCUACUCAAGCUAACCGUGGGUGGGUAUUAUCAUUUUUUAAUCCUUUCUCAACAUAACAGGUAAGAAAAAUAUUACCAUGUUGUUGAAAUUUGCAUCUUUCGAUAACUUAUACUGUUUGUUGACCAUAUGUGCUUUUUUUUUUUUUUCCAGUUGUCUGGUCAAGUCCUUAGUCCUAAUAGGGUGUUCAUCAUUUUUAUUUAUUGAUUUGUCACAGCUCUUUAUAUAAAAGGAUAUUAGCCUUCCAUCAGCCGUACAUAUAUAGCAAAUAUUUUCUCUCAAUUCAUCAUUUACUGAAGUUGUUUUGCUAUUUGUUCAUGCUGUUUUGUGAUGCUUAUGAUGUUUUUAUAUUGUCAACAAGGUUAGUCUUUUCUUCUGUGGUUACUGUCUCUGGUUUUGUGCUUAGAAAGUCCUUUCCCACUUGCAAAUGAGAUAAAUGUUCACCUGUAUUGGCUUUUAUUCUCUUUUAUGGCUUCAUUUUUUCCACUUACUGUAGAGGUUAAGAGUGUGGGUACUAGAGCAGACUGUCUGGGACAAACCCAGCCUCAGCUCAAGCAAUUCGUGUGAUUUUUAGCCAGGCAUUUAACUUCUCGAUACCUCCAUUUCCUCAUAGGUACUGUGAUGGUUAUAAUAGUACUGAC